rnacentral:rRNA from 1 species
GCCUACGGGAGGCAGCAGUGAGGAAUAUUGGUCAAUGGGCUUACGCCUGAACCAGCCAAGUCGCGUGAGGGAAGACUGCCCUAUGGGUUGUAAACCUCUUUUGUCAGGGAGCAAUUGGCGCUACGUGUAGCGUUAUCGAGAGUACCCGAAGAAAAAGCAUCGGCUAACUCCGUGCCAGCAGCCGCGGUAAUACGGAGGAUGCGAGCGUUAUCCGGAUUUAUUGGGUUUAAAGGGUGCGCAGGCGGACCAUCAAGUCAGCGGUAAAAUCGUGGGGCCCAACCCCAUCCCGCCGUUGAAACUGGCGG